rnacentral:rRNA from 1 species
GACGAACGCUGGCGGCGUGCUUAACACAUGCAAGUCGAACGCUGAAGCACCAGCUUGCUGGUGUGGAUGAGUGGCGAACGGGUGAGUAAUACGUGAGUAACCUGCCCUUGACUCUGGGAUAAGCCCGGGAAACUGGGUCUAAUACUGGAUGCUACAUGUCACCGCAUGGUGGUGUGUGGAAAGGGUUUACUGGUCUUGGAUGGGCUCACGGCCUAUCAGCUUGUUGGUGAGGUAAUGGCUCACCAAGGCGACGACGGGUAGCCGGCCUGAGAGGGUGACCAGCCACACUGGGACUGAGACACGGCCCAGACUCCUACGGGAGGCAGCAGUGGGGAAUAUUGCACAAUGGGCGAAAGCCUGAUGCAGCGACGCCGCGUGAGGGAUGACGGCCUUCGGGUUGUAAACCUCUUUCAGCAGGGAAGAAGCCACAAGUGACGGUACCUGCAGAAGAAGCGCCGGCUAACUACGUG